UAUAUGUACGUGUUGUGUGCAUAUGUGC
rnacentral:piRNA from 1 species